rnacentral:rRNA from 1 species
AUGGAUCUGUUGAAUGCUAUUAACCAGUUGAGAUUGCUCCAAGGUGAUCAUUGGCACUUAUUAAACUCCGCAAACAUUGCCCUCAUCCCAAAGAAGGGGGCAUCUGUCUCUGCUGCUGAUUUACAGCCCAUAAGCCUCAUGCAUAGCGUGGCUAAGAUCCUAGGGAAGAUGAUUGCCACCAGGCCUGCUCUUGCCUUGCAAUCUCUGGUGUCAAGCUGUCAAAGCGCAUUUAUCAAGAAGAGAUAUAUUCAAGACAACUUCCUGUUUUGUAAGAAACAUUGUAAAGGAAGCCCACUGCAAGAAGAAACCCCUGCCGUUCCUCAAACUCGUCUUUGCCAAGGCUUUUGA